rnacentral:lncRNA from 1 species
UUUUAUCUUCCUUCCAUCUCCACCUAUCCCGAAGGUCACAGAGAGCAUGUUUUGAUUCGCUAUUCAUUAUUCAGGACCCUGGGACCCUGGAGGAAAAGUCCUGGGAGGUUAUACUGACACAGAAGUGAUAAAUUCCAUUUCACCAUUGAUUUUUAUAGCUGCUGCAUUUCUUUCAGCCUCUUCUUGCCCCAAGCAGCAUUAAUAAUAGAUGACAUGUCUUCUUCUGAAUUUAAUGUUUAGUCUGUCGCUGAAGCAGGCCCAUGCAACUAACAUGUUCUUGUUUUCUUUUUGGCCACACCCUUGCCAUGUGAAAGUUCCAGGGCCAGGGAUCAAACUCAAGCCAAAGCAGUAACCUGAGCCACAGCAGUAACAAUACACAAUUCUUAACCUCUGGCCACCAGGGAACUCCAACAUGGCUUUUCUUCUGAAAUCCUAUGUCCUGAAAUAGCUCUGAAACAUAUUUAGUGGUGGGGGGUGUGUAGGCUAUCAUCAGAUGUGCAACUUUAACUGAAUGACUUGGAUGACUUGGUCCAGGCCUUAUGUGAGACUUGGGUGAUAGACUCUCUUUUAAACAAAGAAGACACUAAAACACAGAAAGGUUAAGCAACUUGACCAAGGCCAUGGAGCUAGUUAGUGGCACAACUGGGGACUGGAUUUAUACUUAAAUUUUCCUAUUCCUAGACUAUCCUUCUCACUCUGUCUAAUCGCCUGCCCAUUAAUGGGGACAGCCUGGGGAGAAGGUGCUGGGAGGGGAUGUGAUGGCUGCAUGGUGAGCUCAUAACAGGCGCAGAGGGGAUGAGGGAGGUGGGAGGGUGGAGGAUGGAAAUCAACAGGGGAGGAAAACAGGGGGUGUGCCAACCCCAGGGCAAGGCUCAAACAAUCCAGUCUAAUCCAAAUCAGGCUGGCAAGCAUCUUUGAUUGGUCCAUCCGGCUGAGUUCUCCAAGCUGUAUUCCCUGAACUGUGCCCAGCUGGCAGAAUGAAAAUCAUUUGAAAAAUAUCCGGAAAUUGCUACUCACCAGGGAGCAUCUGUGAAAAAUACUGGCCACAAAUGAGCUGGCAGGGACUCAGUAACUGCCAGGUCACUCUGCCAUAGCCAGUUUGUCUGAAGGGGUUCUGCAGUUAUUUCCCAGUUGGGCCACUCAGCUGCUGUAUGUGGUUGGGCCUUGGGGACUUUUUUUUUUUUUUACAGUGUUUCUUUUGAAGCAGGAGAUGUGCUCUAGAAAAGCUAUGGGUAAAUCAGAGUUUCGUACCUGGAAUCACAGUUUUCAAGUGCACUCAUGAAUAUUCCUGUGGUAACUCUCUAAACUGAAAGAUUUUUCACAAAUAAUUUCCAUUUUGUAAAUCUGGAUUUCUUAAUGCAAAAUUCAUCCAGGGUCAUCCUGGUGAAGAAAUUCCAGGGCAUAGACGUAAUCUGCAUUUUUGCACAAUCAUUGCCGGGAAUGGUAGUGAGAAGCAGGGUUAGAUCAUCUUCUCAGUAGACUGGGAUCCUAAGAUUUGGCAACUUGUCCAGCCUCUGGUCCCAGUGGCUCCUUAGGAAAUCACAGCUGGAAAAACCUAGCCGUUCAUUUUAGCUCAUCGUUUCUUACGCCUGGUUAUUCCCAGGAUCCUCCAGUGGUUUUUCUUGUCUCCUACAUCCUAAUGUCCUCUUCACAAUGCUGAUGUUCUCAGCAAGAUGUAAUGCAAAUAUUUUGCUUUGAGCUCAGAGUCCAGGCUCUUUGAUCUUCUUUGGGUAUGAGACCACUUGCUGACCCUUCUGGACUGUUUGCUGUUUUCUCUGGUCUUUUCACCUGCUGGGUAGAAUCAAGCAGUUCCCCAGAAAAGAGUGUUCUGAAUUUUAAGAGAACAGUUGAAAUUAAGAGAAUAAAAUGUGUGCUGACCAUUUGUAUUAGUCAGAGUUCUCUAGAGAAACAGAACCAACAGGAUAUAGAUGUAGAGAGACGUGUGUGGACAUGGGUAUGAGGAGAGUAUCAGAGGAACUGGCCCAUGGGAUUACAGAGUCUGAGAAGCUCCACCGUCUACCACCUGUGAGCAGGAGAACCAAGAAAGCCUGUGGGGUGUUGCCAUUUAGUCAAAGUCCAAAGGUCUGAGAACCAGGGGAGCCACUGGUAUAAGUCUGGGUUGCAGUCCCAGGACCGAAGAUCCAGGAGUGCUGAUGACUGAGGGUGGAGAAGACAGAUGUUCUGGCUCAACACAGACAGCAAAUGUGCCCUUCCUCUACUUUCCUGUUCUAUUCCUGGCUCAGCAGCUUGGACGAUGCCCACCUGCAUGGCGAGGGCAAUAUUUGUUACUCAGUCCACUGAGUCAAACCCUAAUCUCUUCCUGAAGCACCCUGACAUCAUGUUUUAUCAGUUAUCAUGCAUCUCUUAGCCCAGGCAGGCUGACACGUGAAAGGAACCAUUGUACAUCAUCCAAAUCAAAUAUACAAACUGCCCUGCUCAUGACCGUCUAUCCUCUCGGUGGCCUGUCUGGGGGCUUCUAUCUCUUUUAAAGACAUGCAAGCCUGAAAAGAAAGAAAGCACAGGGAUGGAAACGAUCUAGCAAACAGUAAGACCCCUCUUUAGGGAAGAUGAAAACGUCCCAGAUAGGUCCUACAAUGGCCCUCAGAAAAGACUUCCCAAGAAUUCAGGACUUGAUUCCUUUGAAGGCUUUUGCUUUGUGGGUUCCCCUCCCCUGAACUUGACCUUUCAGCUCCACUCAGUACGAAGGCUCUCCCAGAGAGAGAGAACUGAGAGUGAGGAGAAAGAGCCUUUGGGCAGCUAAGACAUAUGGGAGAGAAACAAUGGGAAAGGGGGUUUUAAAUACUGCUGAGUGACUGGAUUUGACUCUCUCUUGAUUUCUUUAAAAAACACAGCUGAAGAAUUCCCAUUGUGACACAGCAGAAACAAAUCCAACUAGUAUCCAUGAUGAUGCUGGUUUGAUCCCUGGCCUUAGUUCAGUAGAUCGGGGAUCUGCCGUUGCCAUGAACUGUGGUGUUGGUCGCAGAUGUGGCUCAGAUCCCACGUUGCUGGCUGUGGCUCUGUAUCUGCGACCUACACCACAGCUCGUGGCAACGCUGGAUCCUUAACCCACUGAACGAGGCCAGGGAUGGAACUUACGUCCUCAUAGAUGCUACUCAGAUUGUCAGAUUCAUUUCCGCUAAGCCACGAAGGGAACUCCCACUGUAGUGUUUUCAUGCAUAAGAGGAUGCCAGAAAAGCAUCCCAUUUGAGUCUACUCAUUAGAAGUCAAGCGCCUUCUGGCCAGAUAAGGCAAAGGAUCCGUGACAGAAAGGUUAAAAUCAGGUUUCGUUUCUGCUCUUUGCAAGGAUUUGGUCAUUUCGGUGUAGGAAAAAAGGACUGCUUUGUGAGGGGGAGACACACAGUGAUUGCCUUCAUAAGCUAAAGGCUGAUUUUGUGGAAGGGGGGUUACAAUAUUUCUGUGUAACUCCAGAGAAGAAGCAGCACUGUAAGUCAAGGUGUAGGGAAAUAGUUUAGUUCGAUAAAAGACAGUUAAUGAUUAGGGACCUUGAAAAUGAAGUGGGCUUCCCUGUGCAGUGGUGAGCACUGUACCAUCUGAGCAUCUUGAUGAAGACGUUAUGUCAAUUAAUCAGCUAACUUAUGUGUCCCACAUUUAUUAACNUGUGUGGCCCUGAAAAAGAAAAAAAAAAAAAAAGUCUCAAUUCAAACCCCAAAUCCCUUACUUACUGUGUGACCUUGGGAAUGCAAUUUAACUUUCAGAGGGCUAAUGUGAAAACCAGAUAACAUAUAUCAAGCACUUGGCACAGAGUAGGUGCUCAUAAGUAUUUGCUCCCUGCCUCUUUCUUCUGUCUCCAUCUUUGUUUCAGGUUUUAGGAAAAUCAGGCUGAAUAAGAUCCUGUGUCUCCCUUCCAGAAAUUCCUCAGCUAAUAGUGGGAGACAACCAGAAACAAAUAUAGGUACAUGCAAAGGUUAAUGGAGGCCCAGCGUGGGGAGGGACUUCCAGCAUUCUGCAAGAGUUGAUGCUUAUCACUCAGGCUCUUGUUGCUGUCAUUUGAAUUCUACUGCACACAGAGAGUGGCUUUGCAUCUUGGAAUAUCUACCCAUCACUGAGAAAUGCUAAGGGGCAAAGAAAAUUUGUGCUAGAAACCAGAGACCAUAUUCCCCUUAGUUCUUUAUUUCUUUGAAAUCAUUAAUCCAGCAAACAUUUUUCUGAGACCCUACCCAUCCUGGCAGCUGGGGAUGGAGAGUUCUUGACCACAUGGGGUUCACAGUCUGUCUGGGGAGACUAGGCUAAGAUGGACAAAGAGAGUUGGUCCACAAUCCUUCAAUAUCCAUUGCAACCACGAGUGUCUUCUUCUCACUUUCCCACAUUAGAGUUAUGCUUCUCCUUGGAUAAGAAAACUGAAUUUGGCCAACACUGCACUUCUUCCUCCAAUGCCUCUGAACCCACAAUAGGCUUUUUCUUUUCUUUCGAGUUUUAAUUCAAAAACUUUCUUUUUGGAAUUUUAAAUAGGGAUAUCCAAACUCUUCUGGUCACAUUUUUUUUUUUGGAAAUAAUUUUGAACUUACAUUUAGAUAAAUUAUAUCCAAAUAGGAAUAGUCUUAACUAAUUUCUCAAGGUGUAAUUCAGUCCUGUGCAAUGUGGUGUGUGUGUGUGUGUG